GUGAAGAAGGGCAGAAGAUGAAGCAGAGCAGGAAAUGCAGAAGGUGGAUCAUAAGAACCUUACUUAAUUUCGAUAGCUUUGCAGGUCACUGAAGAACUUUAAUCAGGGAAUUGAUGUAACAGAAUUUUGGAAAGGUCACCCUGGUUACGGUGUAACCUGGAAUGACUCAGAAGAGAUAAGACUAGAGGCAGGGAUACUAGCUAAGAAGCUGUUACAGUAAUGAAAGAAGAAAUGAUGAGAACCUAAACUAAGGCAAUAGUAACGGAAGCAAAGAUAAGUGAAGAGAUUUCACAGGUUUAUAAGAAGAAAGUGGUAGGACUUGACAAUUAAUUGGAUGUAAAGACCAAAGCAAGCGGCAGUCAAGGAUGGCUCCUGGAUUUCUGGCUUGAGAGACUAGGUGGAUGAAAGAGCAGAUGAGAACACCAAAGACAGAAUAUAUGGUUCUUCUAGAAGAUCUGCUUUCAAUUUUACUAAAGUGAAUGACCCACUUUGAUGAAAAGAACAAUGACUUCUCAGGUCUCUUACAACUCUAAUGUUACAAUUCUAUUGUUCAUCUGGAAUUGUGUUUUGAAGACAGCACACCUGUGGCCUUAAAGCUUCCUUGGUGAACAUGUGAAAUAUUUUUUAAUGAAAAUCCAUUACAUGUAAAGCCAUACAACCCCAAACAUGCAGUGAUGAUGCUUACAGCAAAGAAAAACCAAGUAAAGACACUAUCUACAUUUACCUACUCUGAUCCCAAUUGGCUGCAAACAGCAAAAGAAUCUUCCUGCCGUAAUGGUCUCGGUUUUCCAGCACCCCGGGGAACCCAUCGAUCAGAGCCCUCUUAAUGCCGGGAUCAUCUGCCUUGAAGUUUUUGAACAUGUCCAGGUUUAGCUGGCGGUACUGGAAAUACUGAGCCAGGAGUCUAAAGGCAUCCGCUUGGUGAAACUUCCUGGCUCGGAGAAAUCUCAGGAUGAAGGCAUCAUCUGUACGUAAAAAUCCAAUGUCAGGCCUGGUGAUGAUCAUGUCCCUGACUUGCUGAAUAUCCUGAUGUAAAACAUCUGGGUUUUCAUUCAGUUCCAGGCGAGCUUUCUCUAUAGUCUCUGGACUGAGUCCAGCCUGUAAAUGGGUCAUCUUGGCCAAAUCUCCGUUCCAAGUGCUUACCUUCUGAUAUUUUGGAAGAAGAGAGACUGGUCCCAUUCACCUGAUGGUCUGCUGAAACUGUGGCCCAUUCAACAGUGUUUUACUACCAGGCAGCCCCGGAAUAGACAAAUAGAGGGUCUUCUUUCA